AUUGAACGCUGGCGGCAGGCCUAACACAUGCAAGUCGAGCGGAAGAAGGGAGCUUGCUGCUGGAUUCAGCGGAGGAGGGGAGAGUAAUGCCUAGGAAUCUGCCUGGUAGUGGGGGAUAACGUCCGGAAACGGGCGCUAAUACCGCAUGCGUCCAGAGGGAGAAAGGGGGGGAACUUCGGACCUCAUGCCCUCAGGUGAGCCGAGGUCGGAUUAGCUAGUUGGUGGGGUAAAGGCCUACCAAGGCGACGAUCCGUAACUGGUCUGAGAGGAUGAGCAGUCACACUGGAACUGAGACACGGUCCAGACUCCUACGGGAGGCAGCAGUGGGGAAUAUUGGACAAUGGGCGAAAGCCUGAUCCAGCCAUGCCGCGUGUGUGAAGAAGGUCUUCGGAUUGUAAAGCACUUUAAGUUGGGAGGAAGGGCAGUAAGUUAAUACCUUGCUGUUUUGACGUUACCAACAGAAUAAGCACCGGCUAACUUCGUG
rnacentral:rRNA from 1 species